GGAACACGUGAGUAAUCUGCCCUCAAGUUUGGAAGUAGCGUCCUGGAAACGGGAAGUUAAUACCGGAUGACAACAUGGACCGCAUGGUUUAUGUUCAAAGCAGCGAUGCGCUUGAGGAGGAGCUCGCGUCCCAUUAGCUAGUUGGUGAGGUAACGGCCCACCAAGGCCAUGAUGGGUAGCUGGUCUGAGAGGACGAUCAGCCACAGUGGGGCUGAGAACUGCCCACACUCCUACGGGAGGCUGCAGUCGAGAAUUUUGGGCAAUGGGCGAAAGCCUGAACCCCCAGCAAUGCCGCGUGCGGGAUGACGGUCUUCGGAUUGUAAACCGCUGUCAAGAGGGACGAAACAUGACGGUACCUCUGAAGGAAGCCACGGCUAACUACGUGCCAGCCGCCGC
rnacentral:rRNA from 1 species